rnacentral:rRNA from 1 species
UAUUGGUAUAAUCAAUCCGGUUCACGGCCCAGUUGAACGAUUUGGCCCGUUCGUGAGCACGACACCAAUUGGAGGAUUUCUUCUCCUCAUAGUCACAGCACCAAAAUUGAAGAAAUCACCUCAUAGGUAGUCUCAGGCAAGGAAUGAGACAGCCGAUAGAUGGUCAAAUCGUUUAAUAACAAAACGAAAUACAAAAUUCCUAAUGUACUUCCUUCUUCCUCUGUCCUCUCUUCCUUCUUUCUUUCCUUCCUUCCUUUCCUCCUUUCCCUCUAGCCUUCCUUCUUCCCUUUCUUCCUUCCUCCCUUCUUUGCAUCUUAGCUUCCUACCUACGCUUUCCUUCUUUCCUUCCUUCCUUCAGAAAUUCAAACUCCAAAAAUCAGUGUUCAAAGCAGGCCCCCAGUUGCCUGAAUUCUCACAGCUAGGAAUAAUGGAAUAGGACCCCGGUUCUAUUUUGUUGGUUUUUCUCUGAACCCGGGGCCAUGAUUGAGAGGAACGACCGGGGGCAUUCGUACUGUGCCGCUAGAGGUGAAAUUCUUGGACUGGCGCAAGACGGGCUAAAGCGUAAGCAUUUGCCAAGAAUGUUUUCAUUAAUCAAGAGGUUCGAAGACGAUCAGAUACCGUCGUCGUUCCGACCGUAAACGAUGCCGACCCGCGAUCCGGCGGCGUUAUACCUAUGACCCGCCAGGCAGGGUCCCGGGAAACCAGAGUCUUUGGGUUCCGGGGGGAGUAUGGUUGCAAAGCUGAAACUUAAAGGAAUUGACGGAAGGGCACCACCAGGAGUGGAGCCUGCGGCUUAAUUCGACUCAACACGGGGAACCUCACCCGGCCCGGACACGGAAAGGAUUGACAGACGGAGGGCUCUUUCUCGAUCCCGUGGGUGGUGGUGCAUGGCCGUUCUUAGUUGGUGGAGCGAUUUGUCUGGUUAAUUCCGAUAACGAACGAGACUCUGGCAUGCUAACUAGUUGCGCGGCCACCCCCGCGGCCCGCGGCCAACUUCUUAGAUGGACAAGUGGAGCGUCAGUCACGCGAGAUGGAGCGCCCCCGCCGCAAACUUCUUAGAUGGACAAGUUGAGCGUCAGUCACGCGAGAUGGAGAAAUAACAGGUCUGUGAUGCUUAGAUGUUCCUUAGAUGUCCGGGGCCGCACGCGCGCUACACUGACUGAGUCAGCGUGUGUCUACCCUUUGCUGAGAGGCGCAGGAAACCCGCUGAGCCCUGCUCGUGAUGGGGACCGGGGGUUGAAACUUUCCCCCGCCAAUGAGGAAUUCACAGUAAGCGCGGGUCACAAGCUCGCGUUGACUAAGUCCCUGCCCUUUGUACACACCGCCCGUCGCUACUACCGAU